UACGUAGGGUGCAAGCGUUAAUCGGAAUUACUGGGCGUAAAGCGUGCGCAGGCGGUUUUGUAAGUCAGAUGUGAAAUCCCCGGGCUUAACCUGGGAACUGCGUUUGAAACUACAAGGCUAGAGUGUGGCAGAGGGGGGUGGAAUUCCACGGUGUAGCAGUGAAAUGCGUAGAGAUGUGGAGGAACACCGAUGGCGAAGGGCAGCCCCCUGGGUUAACACUGACGCUCAUGCACGAAAGCGUGGGGAGCAAACAGG
rnacentral:rRNA from 1 species